CCUACGGGAGGCAGCAGUGGGGAAUAUUGGACAAUGGGGGGAACCCUGAUCCAGCCAUGCCGCGUGUGUGAAGAAGGCCCUCGGGUUGUAAAGCACUUUCAGUGAGGAAGAACGCCUGGUGGUUAAUACCCAUCAGGAAAGACAUCACUCACAGAAGAAGCACCGCCUAACUCCGUGCCAGCAGCCGCGGUAAUACGGAGGGUGCGAGCGUUAAUCGGAAUUACUGGGCGUAAAGCGCGCGUAGGUGGCUUGAUAAGCCGGUUGUGAAAGCCCCGGGCUCAACCUGGGAACGGCAUCCGGAACUGUCAAGCUAGAGUGCAGGAGAGGAAGGUAGAAUUCCCGGUGUAGCGGUGAAAUGCGUAGAGAUCGGGAGGAAUACCAGUGGCGAAGGCGGCCUUCUGGACUGACACUGACACUGAGGUGCGAAAGCGUGGGUAGCAAACAGGAUUAGAUACCCCAGUAGUC
rnacentral:rRNA from 1 species